AUUGAACGCUGGCGGAAUGCUUUACACAUGCAAGUCGAACGGUAGAGGGGGCAACCCCUCGAGAGUGGCGAACGGGUGAGUAAUAUAUCGGAGCGUGCCCAGUCGUGGGGGAUAACGUAGCGAAAGUUACGCUAAUACCGCAUACGAUCUAAGGAUGAAAGCGGGGGAUCGCAAGACCUCGCGCGAUUGGAGCGGCCGAUAUCAGAUUAGGUAGUUGGUGGGGUAAAGGCUCACCAAGCCAACGAUCUGUAGCUGGUCUGAGAGGACGACCAGCCAGACUGGAACUGAGACACGGUCCAGACUCCUACGGGAGGCAGCAGUGGGGAAUUUUGGACAAUGGACGCAAGUCUGAUCCAGCCAUUCCGCGUGCAGGAUGAAGGCCCUCGGGUUGUAAACUGCUUUUGUACGGAACGAAAAGGUCUCUCUUAAUACGGGGGACUCAUGACGGUACCGUAAGAAUAAGCACCGGCUAACUACGUGCCAGCCGCCGCCGUAAGAC
rnacentral:rRNA from 1 species